rnacentral:tRNA from 1 species
GGGGAUGUAGCUCAAUGGUAGAGCGCUCGCUUAGCAUGCGAGAGGAACUUCGAUAAGAGACCCUGCUUCUCCU